UUCCCAGGUGUCCCCAUUUGGUGUUCAGGACUCAACACAGAGACUCACCAUGGAGUCUGGGCUCAGCUGGGUUUUCCUUGUUGCUCUGUUACAAGGUGUCCAAUGUGAGGUGCAGCUGGUGGAGUCUGGGGGAGGUUUGAUCCAGCCUGGGGGGUCCCUGACACUCUCCUGUGCAGCGUCUGGAUUCACCAUUAGCAGCUACUACAUGGACUGGGUCCGCCAGGCUUCAGGGAAGGGGCUGGAGUGGGUCUCAGCCAUUAGUAGUGGUGGUAGCACAUACUACGCAGAUGCCGUGAAGGGCCGGUUCACCAUCUCCAGAGACAACAGCAAGAACACGCUGUCUCUGCAAAUGAACAGUCUGCGAGCCGAGGACACGGCCGUGUACUACUGUGCGAGAGACACAGUGAGGGGACAUCAGUGUCAGCCCAGACACAAACCUCCUAUGGGGGUGCACAGGGCCGCCAGGCGGCGCUCAGGACCCACUGUACCCAGAGUCAGUCCAGGGCAAUUGCAGGUGGAGG